rnacentral:rRNA from 1 species
GACGAACGCUGGCGGCGUGCUUAACACAUGCAAGUCGAACGGAAAGGCCCUGCUUUUGUGGGGUGCUCGAGUGGCGAACGGGUGAGUAACACGUGAGUAACCUGCCCUUGACUUUGGGAUAACUUCAGGAAACUGGGGCUAAUACCGGAUAGGAUCUCCUGCUGCAUGGUGGGGGUUGGAAAGUUUCGGCGGUUGGGGAUGGACUCGCGGCUUAUCAGCUUGUUGGUGGGGUAGUGGCUUACCAAGGCUUUGACGGGUAGCCGGCCUGAGAGGGUGACCGGCCACAUUGGGACUGAGAUACGGCCCAGACUGCUACGGGAGGCAGCAGUGGGGAAUAUUGCACAAUGGGCGGAAGCCUGAUGCAGCAACGCCGCGUGCGGGAUGACGGCCUUCGGGUUGUAAACCGCUUUCGCCUGUGACGAAGCGUGAGUGACGGUAAUGGGUAAAGAAGCACCGGCUAACUACGUG